GUGAAAGAGAAGACCUUAUAAAACUUCAUCUGCCUAGUGUGAGCCAGGAGACCCUGAAGCAUAGUGGGAUUGGACGAGCAGUGAUGUAUCUCUAUAAACACCCCAAGGAAUCAAGGUCCAACAAGGACAUGGCAGGGAAAUUAAUCAAUGAGUGGUCUAGGCCUAUAUUUGGUCUUACCUCAAACUACAAAGGAAUGACAAGAGAAGAAAGGGAGCAGAGAGAUCUAGAACAGAUGCCUCAACGACGAAGAAUGAACAGGUAUGAGGGAACAGCACUGGUGGUCAGACACCCAGAAGAGACCUGGAAAAGGUGCUGACAGGAGAGGAGAAGGCUCUUAGACCUGGAGAUCCUGGAUUCUGUGCCCGUGCAAGGGUCCCAAUGCCUUCAAACAAGGACUAUGUUGUCAGGCCCAAAUGGAAUGUGGAAAUGGAGUCAUCCAGGUUUCAGGCGACCUCCAAGAAGGGUAUCAGUCGACUGGAUAAACAGAUGAGAAAGUUCACAGAUAUAAGGAAAAAAAGCAGAUCUGCACACGCAGUGAAAAUCAGCAUUGAGGGCAACAAAAUGCCAUUGUGACCUUGCCUGGAAUGUGUCCCCAUCUCUACUCUAAGAAAUGCGCAAUGGACUCUUUGGAGAAAGAAGAUAUUUUAAAACAUUUUUAGUGUGUCUAUAAAUGGUUCAGCGUGUAUCAGAUGUUGUCAUAGGACUCACAUUUCUCUCAGUUAUAUUUAAAACCGUUGUGCACUUUGUACAAAGGAAU
rnacentral:lncRNA from 1 species